rnacentral:rRNA from 1 species
AAUUUAUAGAAAUAUAAUAGAUAUUAAAUAAAAAUUUAUACAUAACAUAAUAUAUAUAUAUAUAUAUGUAAGUAUAUAAAGAGACUAUUAUGGGACAGUAGCUAUGUAUUAAAGAGAAAAAAGGAUUAUUUAAAAAAAUUUAAUGGACUCUAAGAGAAAUCAGUUAAUAAACGAAGUGAAUUGAAUUAUCUUAUUAACUUCAGGAAAAGAAAUCAAAAGAGAUUCUAUGAUUAGCGGGAGCAAAAAUAGAAAAGUCUAAAUAAUAAGUAAAAUGGAAUAAAACUGUUUGAAAAAUUUAUGGGGAACCUUCCUCAAAGACUAAAUAUAAUACAUAAGCAAUAGAUAAGGAGUACCGUGAGGGAAUAUGGCUAAAUAGUAGUUUUAUAAGCAGCUUAAUUGAAAAAAGAAAGCGUACCUUUUGCAUAAUGGGUCACCAAGUUAAUUUUAGAUGUGAGCUAAUAAAAUGCGUAGUUAAACCGAUCAUCUAAAAAAUGAAAAAUAUCUAAAAUUAGACCCGAAUUACAGUGAUCUUACCAUGGUCAGGACUUUAUUGGUCCGAACGGGUUAUCGUUGCAAAGAUAUCCGAUGAAUUAUGGUAAGUAUAGUGAAAGACAAUUCUGACUGUAUUAGCUGGUUUUCUGCGAAACCUAUAAUAGUAGGCAAUUUAAUUAACAUCUUAGCAGGUACAGAACUUAAUCUUAGACAAAAUGUAAAAAAAAAUUUUUUUUUUACAUUAUAUUUUGUAUACAUCGGGGAAUUAUGAAAGUUUUACCGGUGAGUUUGUGAACUCGGAAUGGCAAAGAUGAAUGUUAAAUUAUCAGACAUAGAAUGAUAAGGUUGUAUGUCAAAAGGGAAACAGCCCAGAACAAGAGUUAAGGUUCCAAAAUUAUUAUUAAGUGAAAUUAAGAAAGUUAAUGUAAAAGUCGACAAGGAGAUUGGCUUAGAAGCAGCCAUAAUUUAAAGAUCUCGUAUCAGAGCACUUGUUAAUAUUAAAGCGUCGAAAAUAUAACGGAUCUAAAUAAUAUACCGAAACCUUGUCAAUUAAUAAUAAAAAUUAUUUAUUUAUUAUUAAUUGGGUAGCAGAACGUUGAGUGAAUUUUGUAAAAAAUUAUAUUUAACUCAAGUGAGAAUGGUGACAUGAGUAACAACAAAGAAAAAUCUCGCCUAAAGCUUAUGGUUUUAUUUAAGUAACGGCCUCUAAGUUUUUUACCUUAAGGUGAUUACGAUGAGAAAAACUUAUUACUAUUAAAAUUAAUUUUUUUUAAGUGAAAAAAAUACUGGAAAUAUAAGUAUAAAUUAACCGUACCUAGGAACUGCAUCAAGUAAGCUAGUAGAGAAUACGAAGGCGUAUUGAGAUAACAAUCUUAAAGGAACUCGGCAAAAUUACUACCGUAACUUAGGGAUAAGGAGAGCUCAUUUACUUGAUUAAUAUCAAGUAUAAACGAAGAAACAUAAAAUAGUGUUGUACGACUGUUUAAUUAAAACAAAGCACUUUGCUAAAGAUGAUAAAUCGAUGUAUUGAGUGUGAUGUCUGCCCGAUGCCGUUAGGCUACUUAUGAAAAUUAAUGAAAUAAAUUUGGUUUUUGUAAAAAUCCCCGGUGAAUGGCGGUCUUAUCUUGAGGAUCCUAAGGUAGCGAAAUGCCUUGGCCGUUAAAUGCGGUCUUGCAUGAAUGAUGUAACGAUACAACAGCUGUCUCUAAGAUUGACUCAGUGAAAUUGGAAUAGCAGUGCAGAUACUGCUUACCUCUAGGUAGACGAGAAGACCCUAUGCAGCUUUACUGUUACUAAUUAUUAGGCGUGAUUCUUACAAAUUUUAGUCUAUAAGGUGUAUUGAUUAUGAGUUGUAACGGAAAUUAAAAAUGAAAUACCUUUAUUUGUAAAUCAUUCUUUUUACUUAUAGAAGAACAAAACAGAACAGUGAUUAGAAGACAGUUUAUGUGGGGCACAGACCCCUUAAAGAGUAAAAGGGUGUAUCUAAAAAAAAUAACUUUAUCUUUAGAAGUUUAUUUUAUUUUUAUUGUUUGUAAUUAUUUUAACUUUGUUAUAUUUAAUCUUGUCGUUGUGUUUAAUAUUUAAUUUAUAUUAAAACAUCAUCAAUUUAUAGGUAAGAUUUUCCCUAUAGAGAAAUUAGUUGUAGUAAAAGAUAUUCAUUAAUAAUAUCUUUAAUAGUUAUUAUAAUUUAUAAUUAUUAAUAAUCAUGUUUAAUACUUAUCAAGCUAAAUGGCUAAAUCUUGCCUUACUGUUUGAUUCACAACAAGUCUUACAGUCGCGUAAGCGGGGCAUUAGAUCACGAGAUGCAAUAAGGAAAGAUCUUGGGUUAUUGGAAAAGCUACGCUAGGGAUAACAGGCUAAUUUGCGCAAGAGUGCCCUAAAUGAGUGCGCGGUUUGGCACCUCGAUGUCGGCUUAACUUAUCCUCAUGGUGGAGAAGCUAUGUAGGGUACGACUGUUCGUCGAUUAAAAAGUUACAUGAGCUGGGUUAAAUACGUCGUGAGACAGUAUGGUUUCUAUCUUCUAGAGGAAAUUAGAAUAUAAUAAGGAUUAACCUUGUACGAAAGGAACGUGGUGAACACCUUAUCUCCGUAAGGAAUAGCGGUUUUAUUAACCUAUGGUUUAUUUGUUGUUUAUCUGCCCAAAUAUUAAUUAAGGUAUAAUUAAAUUUAUACCGGGAUGUUGCUUUCACUUAAGCAAAUAUAUAAGAUAGGCAUAGCAAAAAAGCUAAGUUAGUCCAAGAUAAAUACUGAAAGCAUAUAAGUAUGAAGCUUACCUUAAGAUAUUUCUUAGUUCGUAAUAUAAUAUUACGUAAUAGGCUUAAUUUGUAACAAUCGUGAGAUUUCAGAUAUUAAGUACUAAUUAAAUAUAACUAAAUUUUUAUU